AUUGAACGCUGGCGGCAUGCCUAACACAUGCAAGUCGAACGAGUGGCGGACGGGUGAGAAAUGUCUGGGAAACUGCCUGAUGGAGGGGGACAACUACUGGAAACGGUAGCCAAUACCGCAUACCAUCGGAUGUGCCCAGAUGGGAUUAGCUAGUAGGUGGGGUAAAGGCGCACCUAGGCGACGAUCCGUAGCUGGUCUGAGAGGAUGACCAGCCAAACUGGAACGGAGACACGGUCCAGACUCCUACGGGAGGCAGCAGUGGGGAAUAUUGCACAAUGGGCGAAAGCCUGAUGCAGCCAUGCCGCGUGUAUGAAGAAGGCCUUCGGGUUGUAAAGUACGUUCAGCGGGGAGGCGUUACCCGCAGAAGAAGCACCGGCUAACUCCGUGCCAGCAGCCGCGGUAAUAC
rnacentral:rRNA from 1 species